rnacentral:misc_RNA from 1 species
AUAAGAGGAUUUACCCUUUAGUAUAUUCUUCUGCUGGAGAUGCUUCUCGCUUCGCUCCCACACCCAGGAAGCAAUUGCUUUCUUUUAAGGUACACGCAACCGUUGCUGAAACUGACCAGCCAAAAUGGUGGGAAAAGAAUGUAGGACCAAACAUGAUUGACAUUCAUUCUACACAAGAAUUUUUGGGUGCCUUAAGUCAAGCAGGAGACAGAUUAGUUAUUGUUGAAUUUUAUGGAACUUGGUGUGC